rnacentral:rRNA from 1 species
UGGGGAAUUUUGGACAAUGGGGGAAACCCUGAUCCAGCAAUGCCGCGUGCAGGAUGAAGGCCUUCGGGUUGUAAACUGCUUUUGUACGGAACGAAAAGGCCCCUUCAAAUAAAGGGGGCCCAUGACGGUACCGUAAGAAUAAGCACCGGCUAACUACGUGCCAGCAGCCGCGGUAAUACGUAGGGUGCAAGCGUUAAUCGGAAUUACUGGGCGUAAAGCGUGCGCAGGCGGUUAUGUAAGACAGAUGUGAAAUCCCCGGGCUCAACCUGGGAAUUGCAUCAGUGACUGCAUAGCUUGAGUGCGGCAGAGGGGGAUGGAAUUCCGCGUGUAGCAGUGAAAUGCGUAGAUAUGCGGAGGAACACCGAUGGCGAAGGCAAUCCCCUGGGCCUGCACUGACGCUCAUGCACGAAAGCGUGGGGAGCAAACAGG